GACAAGUGUAAUGCUAGCUUAAGAAAGACGUGUUACACUUUUAAUUUUCCUAAAUUCUUAAUUGGUUGUAUAUUGUAACGUAAAUUUAAUUACGUGCUUUAUUUAUUUAGGUACAACAAAGGAGCAUCGCACGUCAAUAUUUCCUCACCAGUGUAAUGUGUCAUUUUCCGGACUUUUAUGUAAAUAACUAUUUAAUUGCUGCAACUGUAGCAAACCGUUGUCCUCCAGGUGGAUGGAAUUUUACAUGCACGUAAGUUUAAUCUCUGAAAAUCGACUUUCGGGAAGAUUUUUACGUAGUGGUUUUGAAUUCCGGGAUAUCUGCACUAUUUUUGUCGAUGUCGGCUGGAUAUCUUCUUUAUGGAAAUUUUCUAAUUUACUCUGAGUGGUACCAUAACCAAGACGCUAGUUGGCUAAUACAAAAACGCAUGCUGUUUACAAAAAACGCUGGGGAUGAAGAAAAAUCGCAAGCUCCUUAAAAAAUGGAAUGUUAUGCUUUCGUCGACGUUGCCAAUGGAAGUCGUCUUGAGCAACGUUUAUCACUUAUCGCCCCGAAAGGAAACUGUAGAAACUGUAAAAAGGAAUUAAAUUUUUAACAAGUACAAGGACAACGCCUUUGUACUGAGAUAACCUACACCACACAGCGCAUGUAGCGGAUAUAAAGAAACUGGGUCAAUGGGUCGUUAUGUUAACUUUUCUUUUCUUCAAUUAUAGUAAUCAAGUUUAAAAUUUGUGGGUGAUUCCUCGUCAAGGGAUUAUACUGAUGUUAAUUUUAAAAUUUUGAAAAUGUGGUGUUUAGGGCAUGCAAUACCGGGAUCGCGGGAUCCCGAAAUCCCUGGCUCCCGCAGCAUUUUUGCGGGAUCAAUCCCGCACAUAAAUGAAGUCGACCAAGGGGACGACUGUUUAGUUUGUUAAUGAACCGCAUAACGGAGAAGUUAUUUUUUAAAUAAUUGUUAAACUUUUUUCGUUAAAAAUGUACUAUGAUUUUUGAGGCACUUUAGAAGUUCACCUUUUUUUGAGAUCCAAGAAGGCUGAAGGAAUUGCAACACGUUAAUUAACGCAGUCGAUCGUGGAUCGGAAUGCAAGUAUUUUGACUCCUCAAGCAAUCGUUUUAGAGUGAAUCGCUAGAAACACCGGAACAGAGUCCUCUUCCUAUACUGGUGAGUUCUUCAUUAAA